rnacentral:rRNA from 1 species
GUGCACCAGUCGCGAAACCUCCGCAAUACACGAAAGUGUGACGGGGUUACCCAAAGUGUCCAAAUUUGGACUGUGGUAGGUGAGUAAUGUCCCCUACUAGAAAGGAGAGGGCAAGGCUGGUGCCAGCCGCCGCGGUAAAACCAGCUCUUCAAGUGGUCGGGAUAAUUAUUGGGCUUAAAGUGUCCGUAGCCGGUUUAGUAAGUUCCUGGUAAAAUCGGGUAGCUUAACUAUCUGUAUGCUAGGAAUACUGCUAUACUAGAGGGCGGGAGAGGUCUGAGGUACUACAGGGGUAGGGGUGAAAUCCUGUAAUCCUUGUAGGACCACCAGUGGCGAAGGCGUCAGACUGGAACGCGCCUGACGGUGAGGGGACGAAAGCCAGGGGGAGCGGAACCGGAUUAGGAUA